GCCUCUAAUGAUGAUUCAAAAAAUACUUUCGUUCUUCCGAGAUGCGCUAUGCUCAAUGUGGAAACAUUUUGGAGACCUGAACUGAAGAGGC